rnacentral:ribozyme from 1 species
UUUUUUUUUUUUUUUUUUUUUUUUUUUUUUUUUUUUUUUUUUUA